CAGAGUUGCAAACUUCCCAAACCAUUUGUGAACGUUACCUAUCCCGUUGCUUCGGCGGGCGGCCCGGGCCCCGUGCCCGGCGCCCCCCGGCCCCUCGCGGGCGCCCGCCGGAGGUAAACCAAACUCUUGAAUYGUAUGGCCUCUCUGAGUCUUCUGUACUGAAUAAGUCAAAACUUUCAACAACGGAUCUCUUGGUUCUGGCAUCGAUGAAGAACGCAGCGAAAUGCGAUAAGUAAUGUGAAUUGCAGAAUUCAGUGAAUCAUCGAAUCUUUGAACGCACAUUGCGCCCGCCAGUAUUCUGGCGGGCAUGCCUGUUCGAGCGUCAUUUCAACCAUCAAGCCCCCGGCUUGUGUUGGGGACCUGCGGCUGCCGCAGGCCCUGAAAACCAGUGGCGGGCUCGCUAGUCACUCCGAGCGUAGUAGUUACAUCUCGCUCAGGGCGUGCUGCGGGUUCCGGCCGUUAAAAGCCUUAUUUACCCAAGGUUGACCUCGGAUCAGGUAGGAAGACCCGCUGAACUUAAGCAUAUC
rnacentral:rRNA from 1 species